rnacentral:rRNA from 1 species
CAACAGCGUAUAUUAAAGUUGUUGCGGUUAAAAAGCUCGUAGUUGGAUCUCGGCAGGCAGGGGGUGGUUCGCUCUUAGCGCUACUGCCCCAUUUGCCUGUGUGAUUGGCGGAGGUUUCGGGGUGCUCUUCGUUGAGUGACCCGGGGCGCCGUCAGGUUUACUUUGAAAAAAUUAGAGUGCUCAAAGCAGGCUUUUCACGCUUGAAUAUUCGUGCAUGGAAUAAUGGAAUAGGAACUCGUUUCUAUUUUGUUGGUUUUCGGAAAUCGAGUUAAUGAUUAAUAGGGACAAUUGGGGGCAUUAGUAUUCAGACGACAGAGGUGAAAUUCUUGGACCGUCUGAAGACUAACUACUGCGAAAGCAUUUGCCAAGAGUGUUUUCAUUAA